ACUCGCGCUCUGGGCGACCACGGCGCCGGGACCAGGGACCUGCCGAGCUGGCCACCGGCCGUGGGGCAAAGGCAGGACCUCCGGCCCUCCGCCUCCGGCGGCGCUGCUUCAAACCCGGCCCCAGUGUGGACUUGCCGCGGGCGGGGAGACGGGCAGCGGAGGCUGGCGGCGACCCCGGAGCCGGUACCUACGCGAGGGCCGGGCUCCCUCCCGCUCCACGCGCGGCGCGGGACAGGGCCGAGCCGGGCCGGGCGGGAAGAUGGUCCGGGUGUGUCUGGACGUAGGUUCCUAUUGUGUUACAUCGAGAGGAGAAAAAGGAGUAGCACCAUCUUUAAAACCACUUAGCCACCACUAAUAGCCAACUUUUAUUUCAACUUCCUAAAAUAAUAGAUACAAAGCAAUUUACAUUAACCCUGGGAGAGAUGGAGCUUAAUAUCUCUCCCCUGGAAGGUGCGCUGGCCUUAGUGAGUCACUUGAAACAAACGGAAUAUGCCAGAAGUGACCAUCUGGGAAAGAGUUCUUUAUCACAAAUUAUGCGGGAGGACAUUAUCCCAAUGCUUAAAUGUUAGAACCAGAUUCAAAUGAAAGAGAACACGCCCAGAAGUAUGUUGCCUGCUAUUCUGGAAACUGAAGAACAUAAUUAAUAAAAUUAGAGAAAAAUAAAUAUUCAAGUGACACAGGCUUUGUUGAAUUAGAAUGAGAACUUUAAAUGGGAAGUUUGGCACUGAGGAAGCAUCAUUGGGAGACGGCUGAAUACCUGCCAACCUCUGUUUGCACUCUGUCAGUAUCAGAAUUUUUGACAAGGAAACAGAUUGCUUUGUCUUUACUUGCAAUAAUAUAAUUUUAACCUUCAAGUCUUCUUUAGUGAAAAAAAAUUAUUUUUGCUCAAUGAAAACAAUAUGUGUAAUUAUUUUUUUCUACAUUGUUUAUCUCCAUCUCCAAAUAAAUGCCUGUUGGAUCCAAACCCUAAUACUCAGAAGGGGUACAGAGUAGGUAAAUCACCAUUAUUUAUAUAUGAGAUUAUGAGAUCCUUAAGAAAAUGGGCUGUAAGUUGUUCACCUUGUGAUUGCCCAUGACUAGCACAGUGUCUGGGAUUGUGUGGCUCACUAUUAAAGUGGGGGGAAAUAGGAGGUCCUAAUUGUACAGAAAGAGAUAUGAUUUUCGUAACCAAUAGGUUCUUUAGAUGUAAAAUGAAGUAACAACUGACACCAAUAGGUAUAGAACACAGCUAUAAGUAGCCCAUAGGCAUAGAAUUGGAAGCCUAAGUCAGCAUCUACUAUGUGUCGUACACUGUACGAUGUCUAGAUACUUUAGAUCCUUCUCCUUUAGAGAAAGAGAAGAAAUAUAACAGAGUUAGUGGCCUGGCGCAGUGGCUCUCGCCUGUAAUCCCUGCACUUUGGGAGGCCCAGGUGGGAGGAUCACGAGGUCAGGAGAUCGAGACCACCUUGGCUAACAUGAUGAAACCCCGUCUCUACUAAAAAAAAAAAUACAAAAAAUUAGCCUGGCGUCAUGGCGGGCACCAGUAGUCCCAGCUACUCAGGAGGCUGAGGCAGGAGAAUGGCGUGAACCCGGGAGGCAGAGUUUGCAGUGAGCUCAGAACGCACCACUGCACUCCAGCCUGGGCAACAGAGCGAGAUUCCGUCUCAAACAAACAAACAAACAAACAAACAAACAAAAAACAAAAAUAAAAGAGAGACAGAGUUAGUGUAACGAAUGCUACUAUGCUAUUAUAGAGGCUUUAAAAACUCUUAUGAGGACCCUGUACAGAGUAUUACCCCUCCCUGAGAAAUUCAAAAAAGACUUCACAGAAGAAAUGGUAUUUUAGCUGGGGCCUGAGAUUCAUUAGGAGUUUGCCAAUUGAAGAAAGGCAGGUGGAAUUUUAGGUGGAGGGAGGAAAACACAGAUAGAGUCUGGAUUUAACAACAAUUUUCCGUUGAAAAUAAAAGUUUGCAAACCUAAAAUUUUAUCUUAAAGAUAAAAUUAUCUACUGUUAGAUAGUAUUGAAAGUAACUUUGUAAUAAGAUUUUUACCAUUUGUAUUGUUUAUAGUCCAAAAGCUGGGUCCAUUGGUCCCUUUCCCGCCAAACGGGGUAUUGUCAUUAGGGUGACCUGCACCCUGCUGAAAGCAGUAUGUCUGAUGUGCAAGGCACAAAGACAUUGUUUAAAGAACCCUUAUGAUUUUGAACAAACUGGCCCAGCAGGGAGGUUUUAACCUGCUCACCCUAACACGCACAACAGCCUGUGUUUGUAAACAGAGCCUUAUUGCACUAGUGAGAGCAGACUCAGAACAGUGUCAGCUCAUUAAUUGGGUGUCAGCUCCAUGCUGAGAAAAAAGCUUAAUGAGUCAUCUCAUCAUAAAGAACUGUGGCUCAAGGGAGGGGUGAAUUUCUUAGAGAGAGGGGGAAAGAUUUGUCCGGCAAUAACUGCGUGUAUAGAAAAGCUUGAAGCCCACCUGCUGGGAUAAAGAGAGAGCAGCAUUUGGGAACGGAUGGUUUCUCUGCAUUCUGCUAUUCAAAGCGAAACCUGAGUUUAUGAGUUUAUAAAUGCAGCAAUUACCAGUGUGUAUAUUCAGAUUUAUUGGUAGUUUAAUAAAUUGAAAUCAUUUAAAAC
rnacentral:lncRNA from 1 species